AAUAGAUACCCUGGUAGUCCUAGCUGUAAACGAUGAGCACUUGUCUGGGGAUCCUCCCAUAGGUUCCCGGACGUAGCGAAAGUGUUAAGUGCUCCGCCUGGGGAGUAUGGUCGCAAGGCUGAAACUCAAAGGAAUUGACGGGGGCUCACACAAGCGGUGGAGGAUGUGGCUUAAUUCGAGGCUACGCGAAGAACCUUAUCCAGGCCUUGACAUGUACGGAUGCUGCCCGUGAAAGCGGGUUAGUUGCCUUCGGGUGAAACGUGCACAGGUGCUGCAUGGCUAUCGUCAGCUCGUGUCGUGAGAUGUCGGGUUAAGUCCCUUAACGAGCGCAACCCUUGUUGCUAGUUGCCAGCGGGUAAUGCCGGGGACUCCAGCAAGACUGCCGGUGUUAAACCGGAGGAAGGUGGGGAUGACGUCAAGUCCUCAUGGCCUUUAUGGCCUGGGCUGCACACGUCCUACAAUGGUGCGUACAAAGGGGAAGCAAACUCGUGAGAGCAAAGCAAAUCCCAAAAAGCGCACCUCAGUUCGGAUUG
rnacentral:rRNA from 1 species